CAGUGCCCUCUCGACAAGUUGGCAGCAACAACACGGCCCUGGUCGUCGUCGCCGCUGCGGUAACGGAGCGGCUCGGGUGGCGGAGCCCGCGUUCGCGCCCGCCCGCUCUCCUCGGGAGGCCCUUGCCGUCCUCCCCUCGGCUCUGCGGCCGCCCAGAGGGUAGGAGCGGGUGAGGGGAGCCGGGCGCCCCGCGAGAGAGACCCCCCGCCGCGGGGCGGCCCGGGAGCUCGAGGCGGUCCGGCCCGCGCGGGCAGCGGCGCGGCGCCGAGGAGGGGCGGCCUGGCCCGGACGCCUCGGGGCGGGGGCCGAGGAGCGCCCCGGGCCGCCGGGGGAAGCGACCGGCCCUGUGCGUCCGCGGACGAGCAGCGGCGGGAGAGCGGACUCCCCUCGCCACCGCCCGAGCCCAGGUUAUCCUGAAUACAUGUCUAACAGUCGUCCCUGCAUCGUUAGCCAUUGUUUUUCACUGCCUCUGAAAGAUAAAAGUUGCUCCAGAAAUUGGAGAUAUAUUUGAUUUAAAAGAAAAAACUUGAACAAAUGGACAAUAUGUCUAUUACGAACACACCAACAAGUAAUGAUGCCUGUCUGAGCAUUGUGCAUAGUUUGAUGUGCCAUAGACAAGGUGGAGAGAGUGAAACAUUUGCAAAAAGAGCAAUUGAAAGUUUGGUAAAGAAGCUGAAGGAGAAAAAAGAUGAAUUGGAUUCCUUAAUAACAGCUAUAACUACAAAUGGAGCUCAUCCUAGUAAAUGUGUUACCAUACAGAGAACAUUGGAUGGAAGGCUUCAGGUUGCUGGUCGGAAAGGAUUUCCUCAUGUGAUUUAUGCUCGUCUCUGGAGGUGGCCUGAUCUUCAUAAAAAUGAACUAAAACAUGUUAAAUACUGUCAGUAUGCCUUUGACUUAAAAUGUGAUAGUGUCUGUGUGAAUCCAUAUCACUAUGAACGAGUUGUAUCACCUGGAAUUGAUCUCUCAGGAUUAACACUGCAGAAUAAUGCUCCACCAAGUAUGUUGGUAAAGGAUGAAUAUGUUCAUGACUUUGAGGGACAGCCAUCGUUAUCCACUGAAGGACAUUCAAUUCAAACCAUCCAGCAUCCACCAAGUAAUCGUGCAUCGACAGAGACAUACAGCACCCCAGCUCUGUUAGCCCCAUCUGAGUCUAAUGCUACCAGCAACGCCAACUUUCCCAACAUUCCUGUGGCUUCCACAAGUCAGCCUGCUAGUAUACUAGCAGGCAGCCAUAGUGAAGGACUGUUGCAGAUAGCAUCAGGGCCUCAGCCAGGACAGCAGCAGAAUGGAUUUACUGGUCAGCCAGCUACUUACCAUCAUAACAGCACUACCACCUGGACUGGAAGUAGGACUGCACCAUACACACCUAAUUUGCCUCACCACCAAAACGGCCAUCUUCAGCACCACCCGCCUAUGCCGCCCCAUCCCGGACAUUACUGGCCAGUUCACAAUGAACUUGCAUUCCAGCCUCCCAUUUCCAAUCAUCCUGCUCCUGAGUAUUGGUGUUCCAUUGCUUACUUUGAAAUGGAUGUUCAGGUAGGAGAGACAUUUAAGGUUCCUUCAAGCUGCCCUAUCGUUACUGUUGAUGGAUAUGUGGACCCUUCAGGAGGAGAUCGCUUUUGCUUGGGUCAACUCUCCAAUGUCCACAGGACAGAAGCCAUUGAGAGAGCAAGGUUGCACAUAGGCAAAGGUGUGCAGUUGGAAUGUAAAGGUGAAGGUGACGUUUGGGUCAGGUGCCUUAGUGACCACGCGGUCUUUGUACAGAGUUACUACUUAGACAGAGAAGCUGGGCGUGCACCUGGAGAUGCUGUUCAUAAGAUCUACCCCAGUGCAUAUAUAAAGGUCUUUGAUUUGCGUCAGUGUCAUCGACAGAUGCAGCAGCAGGCGGCCACUGCACAAGCUGCAGCCGCCGCCCAGGCAGCAGCCGUGGCAGGAAACAUCCCUGGUCCAGGAUCAGUAGGUGGAAUAGCUCCAGCUAUCAAGUUAAACUCCUGACUAUAGACUUUUAUGAUGGAAACACGUGGCACCCAUCUUCCACGUCUGAAGGCAUAACUAGUGAUUCAUUCAACCCCUGUUCUUAACCUCUUCAGUGUGGUCUAUCAGCUGCUGCGGGAAUUGGUGUUGAUGACCUUCGUCGCUUAUGCAUACUCAGGAUGAGUUUUGUGAAAGGCUGGGGACCGGAUUACCCAAGACAGAGCAUCAAGGAGACCCCUUGCUGGAUCGAGAUUCACUUACACCGGGCCCUCCAGCUCCUAGAUGAAGUACUUCACACCAUGCCAAUUGCAGACCCACAGCCUCUAGACUGAGGUCUUUUACUGCUGGGGCCCUUAACAUUAGCAGGAUGGUGGACUAUAAAAUACAAUCCUGUUUAUAAUCUGAAGAUAAAUUUCACUUUUGUUCUGCUUUAUCUUUUCAUAAAGGGUUGGAAUAUGUGUUUGCUGCCUUGCUCCUAGCAGACAGAAACUGGAUUAAAACAAUUUUUUCCCCUUAUUUAGAACUUUUCAGGAAUGGCUCAGAGCUUGAAGAUUAGGAAAAACACAUUCUUAUUAAAUCUUCACCAGUUAUGUAUGAAGGAAUCAUUCCUGUGCUGGAAAGUUUAGCCCUUUAAAAUGUCUUAGAGUCUUUUAUAUGCAGAACAUUGAUAGGUGUUAUUCUACAGAAUAAAUCCAAUAUAACUGAUUUUAAAGGCAGAGAAGUUCUCAAAGUUAAUUCACCUAUGUUAUUUUGUGUGCAAGUUAUUGUUGAACAUAUACUUUACUCCAAAAAUAUUGUGCCAUGUGGGUGAGUUAAUUUUACCAAGAGCAACUUUACUCUGUGUUUAAAAAAUAAGAUAGCAAUGUAUUAUAACCUUUCAUCCAAAAUAUUUUUUGCAAGUUAAACUAGUGAAGAUGAUUUCAAUUCAGAUUGUCUUGCAACUUCAGUUUUAUUUUUGCCAAGGCAAAAAACACUAAUCUGUGUGUAUAUUGAGAAUUCCUUAGAAUUACCAAACAAAGAAAUGUCAUUUAAAUUACAUUUGUUAUCCCCUAAUGGAUGACUUAUUUAUCAAGAAGUAUACGUUUGCCCUGUUAAACAGUAGAUGUAUUCUUCUAUAUUUCUGGGCACAAGGUUGAUUACUAAGAAGCCUAGAAGAGGAAUUUCUUUUUUCCUUCAUUAAUUCAUAGGGAAAGGUUUUGUAUUUUUAAAAACACUAAAAGCAGUGUCACUCUACCUAAUAUCAUACUGUUCUGCAAAGGUGGCAGUGCUUAAACUAAAUAAUGAGUAUUUUGGAAACUGCUAAAUUCUAUGUUAAAUACUGUGCAGAAUAAUGGAAACAUUACAGUUCAUAAUAGGUAGUUUGGAUAUUUUUGUACUUGAUUUGAUGUGUGACUUUUUUUCGUAUACUGUUUAAAUCAUGUAUGUUAUGGACAUUGUUUAAAAUUCAGUUUUUGUAUCUUGGGGCAAGACUGCAAACUUUUUUAUACCUUGUGGUUAUUCUAAGCCCUUUGCCAUCAAUGAUCAUAUCAAUUGGCAGUGACUUUGUAUAGAGAAUUUCAGUAGAAAAGUUGCAGAUGUAUUGACUGUACCACAGACACAAUAUGUAUGCUUUUUACCUAGUUAGUAGCAUAAAUAAAACUGAAUCUCAACAUGCAAAGUUGAAUUCUAGGUUUGAUUUUUAAGAUUUUUUUUCUUUUGCACUUUUGAAUCCAAUCUCAGUGGUGAGACACCUUCUACUAAAUGACAGGCAACAGCCAGUUCUAUUGGGCAGCUUUGGUUUUUCCCCUCACACUCUACCAGGACUUCCCCACAGACAUUAUGCAUCAUGUGUAGAGUUGGUUAUUUUUUUAAAUUUUUAUUUUACUGUAGCAAAAUAGGCCUGAUUGUCUACCCAGUGAUAAAUAGGUUGUCUACAGGAUAAAUAGUGUGAAAUAAAAUCAAGAAUUAUCUUUUAGAUGCUUUUACUUUCUGCUUGGAGGGCUUUGUAAAGCUACAGAAACACUUGUGGUGACAGUCCUCCGUAUAUUACCUGAAAUGAACAAGUCUUCUACUGCCUUGCUCAGAAGGUCUUUUUAAUAAGGCCAUCCUGGAAACCACUGAGUUUAUUGUUUGUGAUUUAAACAUAGAUCUUGAUCCAAGCUUUGUCUUUUGUUUUCUAAAUAACAUCUUUACCAACUCAUUUGUACUCUUGAGUACUUAAAAUACUUUUGUUAAAGACCUAACUUUCUUCUGUAAAAGUUUGAUGAUUUAACUUUUAUUGGCAGAUUUAUAAAAAGAUCUCUUCUGUAGAACUUGUUUGACUUUAGGUCCAUUUUACUGUGAAUGAGGAAUAGGAGGGAGAGAGUUUGAGAGUAACAUAUUUUUUUAAAAAUCCAGAUGAUUGAUUAAAACCUUAACCAUGCAUUGAUAUAAUCCAUUACCUCCUUUUCUACUUUAAGGAAGGUUUUCAUGUUUAAUCAUCUGGGGAGAAUAUGUGGGAAUAUUUGCUAAGAAGUAUCUCUUCAGAACCAAGCCACCUGUCUUGGUUUCUUUCUACUAAGAGCCAUAAAAAUAUAGAAAUACUUCUAGUUAUUAAUUGCUUAUAUUUGUACCUAGAUUUAGUUACAUGCUUUUGAGAAAACAUCUAGUAUGUUAAUGAUCAGUUAUUCCUGAGAGCUUUGUUGUUAAUCUGUAUUUCUGUUUCUUGGAGGUGGUCAUCUUUGGUGAGUACGACUAAAGAAUCUCACUAGGUUUAAAAUUUUAUGUCUACUUUAAGGGUAAAAUAGUUUCUGCAGUUCUCAGAAUCUGAUUAUUGUGAGGAUAUGAUUCUGGGUGGGUUUUCUCUAGCUAAUUCGUAUCUCAGAGACUCUCAAAAUGUUGAACGUCAGUGAAAAUGUUGAACUUCAGUGAAAGCUGAAUGAGAGAUGAACCACGUACAUUAUGAGACCCAUUCCACUUCUGCCCAGUGCCUUUCAGUGCAUUAUCAAAGGGAAUGCUUCAUAGUGUUGCCUUCAUGUUCCAGGGUGUAGCUUCUUUCAUGGGAUAUAGUCUAUCUCAUUUUUUAUAGUUUUACUGCCCCUGGUCUGCAAAGAUAAUGAUAAUAAAUCACUGCCAUAUAACCUUGCUUUUUCCAGAAACAUGGCUCAUUUAUAUUGUCAUAACCACUAAAUAGGUUGCCUAUCCCAUUCUUCCUGUCAACAGUACAGGUUUAUAGGCUGUAUGGUUUGGCUUAAUGAUAACCAUACUUGAAACAUCCAAGUAAACUGCACACAUAUUAGCUGUGUUGUAUUUCAAAUUUAAAAUCCAUUUUUGUGGGAAAGGGUAUGGUGUAUAAAGGGGGGUAUUUGUUAUACAAAUUUUGAAGGCAAAAUAAAAUGCCCUGUCUUCCAGAUGAUAAAUAUCUUUUUAUUUUUAAAGUUUAUUGCCGAUUGUAGGAAGGUGAGUUGCAGGUAUCUUUUUGACUGUGUCGAUCUGGGGAAGGAAAAUCUUACAUUUUACCAAAUUGCUCCUGAAGUAUCUGUGGAGGUUAAAGAAUAAAAAAAUUGAAAUGUUUCUGUGCCCGGUUGGGUAGUAACUAGUUAAUAGUUACUCACUAGCUUUUUUAUGCAAAGUCAGAUUAGUUCAGGCCCUUUUUUGAGAACAUUUUGAGAGAAGUUUUAUUCUGAGUAGGACAGAGUUCUUUUUGUUGAUAAUUUCUAUAGUUUAAUCCAUCCCUUCAUCAUUGCCAUUUUUAUUGGCAUUUUAUUUAAUGAUAGAUUGAGAAAAAUGGUGACUGAGGUAAAUGACUACAUGAAAACAAUUACCUGUAAAAUCAGUGACCAACUCUUGUAGGUUGGGCACACUCAGCAUGAAGAAAUGCUCCCCCCUCAAAGGUAGAACCCAUCUUGUUGUAGAUAGCUAUCUGUAAAUAAUCUCUUAAAUGUUCCUUUACAAGAUUGCAGAGAAUCGGCCAUGAGAAUCUCGUGCAAGCCUUUCCAUAUUUUCCCUGAUAACUAGGUAAUUUCUUUUCUACAAGAAGGAUGUACAAAGUCAGUGUGGCCUUACCGUUCAAAAAGCAGUAUCCUAGGCCCAGCCUUAUCCCUAGCACGCUUGUCCCAGUGUUGCUAGGUUUCUUGUUUAUCUGGUAUCACCAUGGAAUGAAAUUUUCCACAUAAUCCAAACUUGCCUUAUUUAAGCAGAAAACUUUUUGUUCUAGCCAUUUUUUAUGGAGUUAUUUAAUGUGUAUAUCAGAAUAUACUGGAUUUAAUGUUUCUCUUUUUGGUUAGCUAUCUUUGAGGACUUCAGGGGCUUCUAAGACAGGCAGGGCUGUUUUGCCUUUAUGAAAGGGUCUCAGACUGCUAUAGUUUUGAAUUUUUAGUUCUUUAAACCUCUCCGUCCCCUUCUGGUCUUCUCCCUUUCUGACAGCUGCCACUUCAUAUGCGCUUGUUAGUGUGCUUCCCCUUAGCAUUUUCUUCUUCCCUUUCUGAUUGAUAUAUCUAACUGCUUAGGCAAGGAAACCAGAUAACCAAACUUACUAGAACUUACUUUAAAACACAAGUACAAAUUCUGGGACAGGAUCCAAGAUGCUUUCCUGUAAAGUGUUGAAGAGGACUUCAUUGCAUUGGCAUUUGACAUCAGUUUGACUGCUCAGAGUGCUUCCUGUUCUUGCUGAGUUUCAGGUAGUUACAGUAGAGAGAAGUGAAUCAUAUUCAUAUUUUCCCCCUUAGAGAAUAGUUUGAAAGGUUUCAUUGCUUCCACUUGAAUGCUGCUCAUAUAAAAACUGGGGUUACAAGGGUUACUAAAUUAGCAUGACUAGCCAGAGGUAAUACUGUUGCCUAGAGGACACCAAUAAACAAACACACAACCAAACAAAACAAACCUUGAGAAUCUAGAGGGUCGUUUGUUUUGUUUUGAUGUCCCCUUUUAAGCCUUGCCUUCUGGCCUUCCUCCUGUACAGAUAUUUUUGACCUAUAGGUGCCUUUAUGACAAUUGAGGGUCUGAUAUCCUGCCCCAAGGAGUAGCUAAAGUAAUUGCUGAUGUUUUCAGGGAUUUUAACAUCAGACUUGAAUGAAUGAAGCUUUUUUCCUUUUUUAAUGUAGGAAGGACUGAGGAGAAACUUUUGGUGAAGACAAUCAUUUCUCUCUGUUGAUGUAGAUACUUUUCACACAGUUUAUUUAAGAUGCUUUCUUGAUAGAUCCAGAGCCAGUGUUCAACCUGAAACGGCUCUGGGCUGGGCCAGACAGUUGUACUCUCUAGUUUGCGCUCUGCCACUAUUUUGAUGUGUGACCUUGGGCAAGUCAUUUACCUUCUGCGAGCCUCAGUUGCCUCAUCUGUAAAAUGAGGGAGUUGGACUAGAUUAGUUAUUCCAGCUCUGAAAUUCUAAGUGACCUUGCCUACCUUGCAGCAGUUUUGAAUUUCUUCCUUAUCUUUGGUCUGCUGUUUGAGGGGGCUUUUUACUUACUUCCAUGUUAUUCGAAUGACACUAGGCUUGAUAUUUUAUUACUGUUCUCCUACGGACAAAAAGUUACAUAGUAUGUUCUUAAGAGUUAAUUUUAACCAAAGGCCAAGCACCACCUUAGGGGCUGCAAUACUUUACAAAAAACCCACAAAAAAUUGAAAGGGGGAAAAGCCUUUAUUUUAUUUUUCCAUCAUCUCUGGUCAGAGUUUAUUAAGGCUUUCUUUGAGUCAGGACAUUCUAGCUUUCAAGUUGGUAUGUUUGUGACACCAUCCUCCUAAGUGCUGUGUGCUGGUAACAGUUUUUCAACUGAAAUGGAUUGAAAACCUACUGUUAAUGCCUAAUGAUUAUUAGCGGUCAUUAUUUUGGGUCUUUGGUUUCUUAACUCUUCUAUGCUCAAAACGGGAAUUCCUCCAAACUGCAUCAAUUAAAAUGGUUUAUAUGACUCAAGAAAACAAUACCUGCAGAUCAUUAUUCACUUUAUUCUCAGCUCUUCUUAUGUCUAUUUUGAUUAGAUGACUUUUGGCUGGAUCAUUCCUUUCAGAGUUCUCUUCCAGCCUAUCCUUGGAUGAGUAUAAUUAAUGAACUUGGCUUUUUCAAGGACCUGGGGAACUUCCCUUCCUUGGGGCUGGGUUGAGGGUGGGGGGUUAGAGAGUCCUGGUAGAGGCCAGCUUUUGUGGUAGCUGGAGAGGAAGGGAUGAAACCAGCUGCUGUUGCUAAGGCUGCUUGUCAUUGAUAGAAGGACUCAUGGGCUUAGAUGGAUUGAAAGGCUAAACUUGGAGUUGGCAAACCUUCUCCAAGUAUUAGGUUCUGUUCAAUGCAUUGGACAUGUGAAAGGUAUGAAUGCUUGCAGAUGACAAAAACCUGGUGGGCUGCAGAGCUCAGUGUGAACGAAAUGACUGGGGGGUUGGGGACAGAUUUGGUGGUGGUAUUUCCCAACUCUGUUUCUUCCCCUGAAGUCAGAGGAAUGCAGCUAUGCCAAAACCCAGAGAAGAGCCACUCUUAGCUUCUGCUUUUAGAACAACUGGUCAGCUGAAGCUCCAGUAGUUCCUUUGUGGCUUUCUGUAUACUUUUGCCUGGUUGAAGUCUGUGGCUAAAAAAUAGUUGAACCUUUCUUGAGAACUCUGUAACAAAGUAUGUUUUUGAUUAAAAGAGAAAGCCAACUAAA